GAGUCGCACGAUGACAGCCCUUCGGGGUGGAUUAGUGGCGAACAGGUGAGUAACACGGGGGCAAUCUGGCCUUCACUCUGGGACAAGCCCUGUAAACGGGGUCUAAUACCGGAUACCCCUCCUGCCUGCAUGGGCGGGGGUUGAAAGAUCCGGCGGCGAAGGAUGAGCCCGCGGCCUAUCAGCUUGUUGGUGGGGUAAUGGGCCACCAAGGCGACUACGGGAAGACGGCCUGAGAGGGCGACCGGACACACUGGGACUGAGACACGGACCAGACUCCUACAGGAGGCAGCAGGGGGGAAUAUUGCACUAUGGGCGAAAGCCUGAUGCACCGACGCCGCGUGAGGGAUGACGGCCUUCGGGUUGUAAACCUCUUUCAGCAUGGAAGAAGCGAGAGUGACAGUACCUGCAGAAGAAGCGCCGGCUAACUACGUGCCAGCAGCCGCGGUAAUACGUAGGGCGCAAGCGUUGUCCGGAAUUAUUGGGCGUAAAGAGCUCGUAGGCGGCUUGUCACGUCGGAUGUGAAAGCCCGAGGCUUAACCUCGGGACUGCAUUCCAUACGGGUUAGCUAGAGUGCGGUAGGGGAGAUCGGAA
rnacentral:rRNA from 1 species